CCAAAAGCUCAAAUAAUACUUUAACUAAAACACCAAAUCCCUGAUAAAUUGAAAAGGAGGCACUAUGGAUGCAGAGCAGGAGCAAAGAGAAGAGAGAGAAGGAGGAAAUGCAAACCAUCUCCUCAUCAUCCUCAUAUCUCCUCGUAUCUCCUCAUCUGGACAAAGCCAGCAGCACUCCUUGCAGGAUAAUGCGGGCUGGCCUUCAUCAGCCUCUGCCUAUUUUCAGUGGGUAAAGGGAAAGAGGCCCGGUUCCCCCUGAACAGUUGGUGUUUGUAACAUUAAAUGGAGAGCUAACAGAGAACACCCAGAUCUAAACACGUUUUGCGCUCUGCCCAGGUAUCAGGUGGCAUGCAAGAGUCUCUGCUCCUCUACCUGCUGAUAGUGUGUUUUUCUGG